AUGAGAAAGAAAGACAAAAAGUUAUCAGACAUGCAUCAAAUAGUAAAUAUAGAUCUUACGCUGGAAAUGUCAACCUCCUUGGCAGCUGUAACGCCCAUCAUUGAAAGGGAAAGCGGAGGACAUCAUUAUGUUAAUGUGACUUUACCUGUUGAUGCAGUUGUAUCUGUUGGUCCAGAGGAAACAUGGGGAAAAGUUCAUAAACUUCUAUUUGAUGCAAUUCAUAAUUGACAAACUGAUAUGGAAAAAUGCAUUUUGAAAUAUAUGAAAGGAAGAUCUAUUGUGGUCCCUGAGUCACUGCAAUUUUUAUUACCUCAGAAAAAAAUUCUUGUCACUAUUUCACAUCCUUCAGGAAUACCAGAUGGUCAGCUGCAGGCUUAUAGAAAGGAGUUACAUGAUCUCUUCAAUCUGCCUCAUGACAGACCCUAUUUCAAAAGGUCUAAUGCUUAUCACUUUCCAGAUGAGCCAUACAAAGAUGGUUACAUUAGAAAUCCACAUACUUUAUCCACCUAACAUGGAGACUGGUACGAUUUAUGUGGUCAGGACAUAUAUGUUUAUCAUCAUUACACGCAGGACUGGAUAGGUGACAGUGGCUGGGGCUAUGCUUAAUGAUUUCUGCAGAUUAUCUGCUCUUGGUUCAAACAUCAGGAAUACACAGAGAAGUCCAUUCCAACACAUAGAGGAAUUCAGCAGGCUCUAGUUGAUGCUGGUGAUAAACCAGCAACAUUUGUUGGAUCACUGCAGUGGAUUGGAUCUAUUGAGGUAGAGCUGGCACUAAGCCAAUUGACUGGUAUAAAUUCAAAAAUACUGUUUGUCAGCCAAGGUUCAGAAAUGGCCUUUCAAGGACAGGAACUGGCUAGCUAAUCAUUUCCAAAGCGAAGAAACUUCAGUUAUAAUCGGGGGAGGAGUUUUGGCCCAAACAAUACUAGGAGUUGCAUGGGAUAAGAUUAUAGGGCAGAUAAAGUUUCUGAUUCUAGAUCCACAUUAUACAGGCACUGAAGACUUGCAAGUUAUUUUGGAAAAGGACUGAUGUGGAUGAAAGGGCCCAGACUUUUGGAACAAGUAUGCUUACUAUAACUUAUGUCUUCCUCAGUGACCAAAUAUGAUUUAAAAUAUCUUGGAGUCAAAGACUGCAGUAGAGUGGUAUUAUAAAUUUGUGAAUGAAGAAUCAGUUUAAUUUCACAUUAAAA